rnacentral:rRNA from 1 species
GAUGAACGCUGGCGGCGUGCCUAAUACAUGCAAGUCGAGCGAACAGACAAGGAGCUUGCUCCUUUGACGUUAGCGGCGGACGGGUGAGUAACACGUGGGUAACCUACCUAUAAGACUGGGAUAACUUCGGGAAACCGGAGCUAAUACCGGAUAAUAUUUCGAACCGCAUGGUUCGAUAGUGAAAGAUGGUUUUGCUAUCACUUAUAGAUGGACCCGCGCCGUAUUAGCUAGUUGGUAAGGUAACGGCUUACCAGGGCGACGAUACGUAGCCGACCUGAGAGGGUGAUCGGCCACACUGGAACUGAGACACGGUCCAGACUCCUACGGGAGGCAGCAGUAGGGAAUCUUCCGCAAUGGGCGAAAGCCUGACGGAGCAACGCCGCGUGAGUGAUGAAGGUCUUCGGAUCGUAAAACUCUGUUAUUAGGGAAGAACAUACGUGUAAGUAACUAUGCACGUCUUGACGGUACCUAAUCAGAAAGCCACGGCUAACUACGUGCCAGCAACCGCGGUAAUACGUAGGUGGCAAGCGUUAUCCGGAAUUAUUGGGCGUAAAGCGCGCGUAGGCGGUUUUUUAAGUCUGAUGUGAAAGCCCACGGCUCAACCGUGGAGGGUCAUUGGAAACUGGAAAACUUGAGUGCAGAAGAGGAAAGUGGAAUUCCAUGUGUAGCGGUGAAAUGCGCAGAGAUAUGGAGGAACACCAGUGGCGAAGGCGACUUUCUGGUCUGUAACUGACGCUGAUGUGCGAAAGCGUGGGGAUCAAACAGGAUUAGAUACCCUGGUAGUCCACGCCGUAAACGAUGAGUGCUAAGUGUUAGGGGGUUUCCGCCCCUUAGUGCUGCAGCUAACGCAUUAAGCACUCCGCCUGGGGAGUACGACCGCAAGGUUGAAACUCAAAGGAAUUGACGGGGACCCGCACAAGCGGUGGAGCAUGUGGUUUAAUUCGAAGCAACGCGAAGAACCUUACCAAAUCUUGACAUCCUUUGACAACUCUAGAGAUAGAGCUUUCCCCUUCGGGGGACAAAGUGACAGGUGGUGCAUGGUUGUCGUCAGCUCGUGUCGUGAGAUGUUGGGUUAAGUCCCGCAACGAGCGCAACCCUUAAGCUUAGUUGCCAUCAUUAAGUUGGGCACUCUAAGUUGACUGCCGGUGACAAACCGGAGGAAGGUGGGGAUGACGUCAAAUCAUCAUGCCCCUUAUGAUUUGGGCUACACACGUGCUACAAUGGACAAUACAAAGGGCAGCGAAACCGCGAGGUCAAGCAAAUCCCAUAAAGUUGUUCUCAGUUCGGAUUGUAGUCUGCAACUCGACUACAUGAAGCUGGAAUCGCUAGUAAUCGUAGAUCAGCAUGCUACGGUGAAUAAGUUCCCGGGUCU